rnacentral:rRNA from 1 species
UUCCCCUAGUAACUGCGAGUGAAGCGGGAAAAGCUCAAAUUUAAAAUCUGGUAGUCUUUGACUGCCCGAGUUGUAAUCUAGAGAAGCAUUAUCCGCGCUGGACCGUGUAUAAGUCUCCUGGAAUGGAGCGUCAUAGAGGGUGAGAAUCCCGUCUUUGAUACGGACUACCAGGGCUUUGUGAUAUGCUCUCAAAGAGUCGAGUUGUUUGGGAAUGCAGCUCUAAAUGGGUGGUAAAUUCCAUCUAAAGCUAAAUAUUGGCGAGAGACCGAUAGCGAACAAGUACCGUGAGGGAAAGAUGAAAAGAACUUUGGAAAGAGAGUUAAACAGUACGUGAAAUUGUUGAAAGGGAAACGCUUGAAGUCAGUCGCGUUGUCCAGGGAUCAACCUUGCUUUUGCUUGGUGUAUUUCCUGGUUUUAACGGGUCAGCAUCAAUUUUGAUCAGUGGAAAAAGAUCAAAGGAAUGUGGCAUCUUCGGAUGUGUUAUAGCCUUUGGUUGUAUACAUUGGUUGGGAUUGAGGAACUCAGCACGCCGCAAGGCCGGGUUUUUAACCACGUUCGUGCUUAGGAUGCUGGCAUAAUGGCUUUAAUCGACCCGUCUUGAAACACGGACCAAGGAGUCUAACAUACCUGCGAGUGUUUGGGUGGAAAAUCCAAGCGCGUAAUGAAAGUGAAAGUUGGGAUCUCUGUCGUGGGGAGCACCGACGCCCGGACCAGACCUUCUGUGACGGAUCCGCGGUAGAG